UCCGGUGAUUAUAGCAAAGAGGUCACACCUGUUCCCAUCCCGAACACAGAAGUUAAGCUCUUUAGCGCUGAUGAUACUUGGAGGGCAGCCUCCUGGGAAAGUAGGUCGUCGCCGGUU
rnacentral:rRNA from 1 species